UUUAAGAAAUAGUUCUAGAUCACGUUAUGGGACGUCCCAAAUUGAGUAGGCUAGGUCUACUAUUAAAGGAGGGAGUACACUUCUUUCCCCACAGAUUAAAUGUUGAAGUGCUCUGCUGGAUUUAGACGAAAAGUGUGUUUCUGUGGACAUUGCUUUAAUCUUGGAUCUUAAAGCUAAUAAUACGGUGCUUAUUCUUUAUUUACUGCAGUUUGUUUGGGAAAACACAGAAAAGAAGGGAACACUAGAAGAGACAAAUGGAGAGGACGAGGGAUGAACAUUCACAAGCCAGCGGAUCAAAACCAGCAAAUGUGGAGAAUCUUGUUAAAAGGAGGAGUAUGAGUCAACCUCCUCUGGAUCUGAAAUUCUCUCAUGAUGCAGACAGACCAGAGAGUUAUCUCGAUGUAUCAGAAUCAAAGACGAGCAGAUCAUCUGAACACCAACCAGACAAAACUCUGUGAAUCGCUCAUGUUUCUUCAGAUGGAGCUGAAAUAGUUAAUUGUUUCCAGUCCUGGCUUUAUCCAAUCAGGAGCU